ensembl:lncRNA
CUUAACUGCUGACAUACCUUGACUACAGUAGAUUUGGAAUCGAAUAAUCCAGGUUUGAAUUCUAAUACCAACACUUACUUUCUACUGUGCUUCAUGCAAAUGACUCAGUGUCUUUCAGUCUCAGAUUCCUUAUCUGUAGGUUGAAGAUAAAAAUAUUUCCUAUUUCUUACAUUUAUUGUGAGCAUGAAAUGGGGUGACAUACCUAACUCAUGGGGUUAGCAGAACAGAGUGAUGGUUAUGAUUGCUGUUGGCUGCAGAGUCAGAUGACCUGCGCUUAAAAUCCAGUUUUACUGCUGACUUCGUCCUGAGGGACAGAGGUGACUGUGUGCCCUUUAAUAAAUAUACGUUUUUAUGUUUGUGUUAUGCAGAACCUUCCAAAGAGCAAGGCCCAGGGAAGAGGCCCCACGAGUCCCAGUCUAACGGAAGCAAUGGAAUCAAGAGUGAAGGGUGAUGUGCAAAGAGGCUCCUGCUUUCUGGGAACCCAACCUGCCACACCCUGUCUAUAAAGCCAUGGUCCUGCACCUGCCUCCCACUCUGAUGUCGUAUCUCAAGAAUCUUCCUCUGAGUCCACUUCAGCCACAUGGACCUUCUUUUGAUGCCUCAGAGUCUUCUCACUUGCGGGUCCCUUAGCCUGUGAAGACUUCUCC